UUGAACGCUGGCGGCAGGCCUAACACAUGCAAGUCGAGCGGAUGAAGGGAGCUUGCUCCUGGAUUCAGCGGCGGACGGGUGAGUAAUGCCUAGGAAUCUGCCUGGUCGUGGGGGAUAACGUCCGGAAACGGGCGCUAAUACCGCAUACGUCCUGAGGGAGAAAGUGGGGGAUCUUCGGACCUCACGCUCUCAGAUGAGCCUAGGUCGGAUUAGCUAGUUGGUGGGGUAAAGGCCUACCAAGGCGACGAUCCGUAACUGGUCUGAGAGGAUGAUCAGUCACACUGGAACUGAGACACGGUCCAGACUCCUACGGGAGGCAGCAGUGGGGAAUAUUGGACAAUGGGCGAAAGCCUGAUCCAGCCAUGCCGCGUGUGUGAAGAAGGUCUUCGGAUUGUAAAGCACUUUAAGUUGGGAGGAAGGGCAGUAAGUUAAUACCUUGCUGUUUUGACGUUACCAACAGAAUAAGCACCGGCCAACUUCGUG
rnacentral:rRNA from 1 species